rnacentral:rRNA from 1 species
GUACACUCCUACGGGAGGCAGCAGUGGGGAAUUUUGGACAAUGGGCGAAAGCCUGAUCCAGCCAUGCCGCGUGCAGGAUGAAGGCCUUCGGGUUGUAAACUGCUUUUGUACGGAACGAAACGGCCUUUUCUAAUAAAGAGGGCUAAUGACGGUACCGUAAGAAUAAGCACCGGCUAACUACGUGCCAGCAGCCGCGGUAAUACGUAGGGUGCAAGCGUUAAUCGGAAUUACUGGGCGUAAAGCGUGCGCAGGCGGUUAUGUAAGACAGUUGUGAAAUCCCCGGGCUCAACCUGGGAACUGCAUCUGUGACUGCAUAGCUAGAGUACGGUAGAGGGGGAUGGAAUUCCGCGUGUAGCAGUGAAAUGCGUAGAUAUGCGGAGGAACACCGAUGGCGAAGGCAAUCCCCUGGACCUGUACUGACGCUCAUGCACGAAAGCGUGGGGAGCAAACAGGAUUAGAUACCCUUAUAGUCCCAU